CCUUGGAGAAAUAUGCGUCAA
rnacentral:miRNA from 1 species